UAAAUAUACAUGAAGAUGUGAAAAAGAUGUUGGAUUUGUGGAAUUGCUAAUGACCACAGUUAAAUGGCGGGAUCCAAAAUCCGGUUAGAUUUCACAACGUCAUAUUAAUUUAGUAUUUAUAAAACCUUUAAAAAAAUAAAUAAGGAGUUGAAAACCUUUAAAGAAAAAAAAACACAAAU
rnacentral:sRNA from 1 species